GUGGGGAAUAUUGGGCAAUGGGGGAAACCCUGACCCAGCAACGCCGCGUGAAGGAAGAAGGUUUUCGGAUCGUAAACUUCUAUCCUUGGUGAAGAUAAUGACGGUACCCGAAGAAAAAGCCACGGCUAACUACGUGCCAGCAGCCGCGGUAAUACGUAGGUGGCAAGCGUUGUCCGGAUUUACUGGGUGUAAAGGGCGUGUAGGCGGGACUGCAAGUCAGAUGUGAAAUACCAAGGCUUAACCUUGGGGCUGCAUUUGAAACUGUAGUUCUUGAGUGAUGGAGAGGCAGGCGGAAUUCCUAGUGUAGCGGUGAAAUGCGUAGAUAUUAGGAGGAACACCAGUGGCGAAGGCGGCCUGCUGGACAUUAACUGACGCUGAGGCGCGAAAGCGUGGGGAGCAAACAGGAUUAGAAACCCGUGUAGUCC
rnacentral:rRNA from 1 species